rnacentral:rRNA from 1 species
UAAAGGUGAAGCCUGCCCAGUGACAAUAUGUUCAACGGCCGCGGUAUCCUAACCGUGCAAAGGUAGCGCAAUCAAUUGUCCCAUAAAUCGGGACCUGUAUGAACGGCCCAACGAGGUCUUAACUGUCUCUUACAGAUAAUCAGUGAAAUUGAUCUUCCUGUGCAAAAGCAGGAAUAACUUCAUUAGACAAGAAGACCCUGUGGAACUUUAAAAUCUGCUACCACUCCCAUAGACAAUUUUCUUCUACAAGACCUACUCCCCGGGAUCUUUCUGGUAUGCAUUUUUUGGUUGGGGCGACCUUGGAGAUAACUUAACCUCCAAAAACCAGACAACCCAUCUUGACCAAGAACAACUCAUCAACGUACUAACAGUAACCAGACCCAAUAUAAUUGAUUAAUGAACCUAGCUACCCCAGGGAUAACAGCGCAAUCUCCUUCAAGAGCCCACAUCGACAAGGAGGUUUACGACCUCGAUGUUGGAUCAGGACAUCCUAGUGGUGCAACCGCUACCAAGGGUUCGUUUGUUCAACGAUUAA